CGGCAACAGCUCAAAUUUGAAAUCUGGCCCUCUAGGGGGUCCGAGUUGUAAUUUGCAGAGGGUGCUUUGGUGUCGGUGGCGGUCUAAGUUCCUUGGAACAGGACAUCGCAGAGGGUGAGAAUCCCGUAUGUGGUCGCCAACCUUCGCCGUGUAAAGCCCCUUCGAC
rnacentral:rRNA from 1 species